UACGGAGGGGGCAAGCGUUGUCCGGAUUUAUUGGGCGUAAAGAGCGUGUAGGCGGCCAUACAGGUCAGCUGUGAAAACUCGAGGCUCAACCUCGAGACGUCGGUUGAAACCGUAUGGCUAGAGUCCGGAAGAGGAGAGUGGAAUUCCCGGUGUAGCGGUGAAAUGCGCAGAUAUCGGGAAGAACACCCGUGGCGAAGGCGGCUCUCUGGGACGGUACUGACGCUGAGACGCGAAAGCGUGGGGAGCAAACAGG
rnacentral:rRNA from 1 species